rnacentral:rRNA from 1 species
UACGGGGGGAGCAAGCGUUGUUCGGAUUUACUGGGCGUAAAGGGCGCGUAGGCGGUCAGCACAAGUCAGUUGUGAAAUCUCCGGGCUUAACUCGGAAAGGUCAACUGAUACUGUGCGACUAGAGUGCAGAAGGGGCAACUGGGAAUUCUCGGUGUAGCGGUGAAAUGCGUAGAUAAUCGAGAGGAACACCUGCGGCGAAGGCGG